rfam:Ictidomys tridecemlineatus contig006836, whole genome shotgun sequence.
UGAGGUGUAGCUCAGUGGGAGAGCACUUGCCUAGCACCUGUGAGGCACUGGGUUCGAUCCUCAGCACUACAU